ensembl:lncRNA
GGGCUUCCUGGAGAAGGGGCUCCAAGGGGGAACCGACUGCCGGCUAGGCCCCGCCGCAGCUUGCGCAGGCCGCCCUGAGUGCGCUCCGGGACCUCUCAGGCUUGGGGAGGAUUUAACGCUUCCCUCACCCCCAAGACUUCCAAUCCUCAAUUACAGACCCAGGAGAAUUCCUUCGGGCUUGAAGGGAUUACGCAGAUCGCAGAAACAUGGUUAAGUGGAAGUCGGAGAAACCCGACAAGUAACAAGAACAGAAACUUUCUUCAAACCAAAUUUCCCGCAUUUUACGGGAAAGCGUACUCGAGAUCUCGCUACUGGGUCUUCACAGUGGCAGCCGCUGUUCUCUCAUCGGCCAGACAGGCCGGCGUGGAAGGCGGGUUUCCUGAGAGGUGUAUGUCCCAGAAUACACUCUGCCCUCCUGGGAGGAAAAGGCGACGCCUACGGCAGAGGGCCGUCCCGCAUCAGAGGUUCCAGGAGCGUCAAAGCCGGACUUCAGAUCUGAGCGGCGGCGGAGCCACGCUUGUGUGGUGUCCGCGCCCAUCUGGAGGCGGGUGGCGGGACCUCCUCGCCAGCGGUCCCCGCCCUGGGCCGAAGCCAGGCUUUGGCAGCAGCGGGUCACAAUCGGGGACAGGGGUGGCCGGAGGGGGCCCGAGCAUCAGGCUUCCUGGUCGCUAGAGGUAUUUUUAAUUCCGCAGAAGAGACUCAGGACUCCUAACUCCCAGCACUGGGUGCAGGCUCAGAAGGGGACUGUGUCAGACUUACUUUGCGGCGCGGCCCAGCCUUUUGCGCGCGCAAAGUCUCGGGACCGCCGGCGUGGUUAGAAACGCGGCCUGGGCCGGUUGGCGGAAGGGGGCGCAAUGCGCACGGCCGCUUGAGGAGCUCUGUAAGCAUGGAGGGCGGAGGGCUAGCUGAACACCGGCAGAUCCGAGCGCGGGAUGGGGCCUGAUGUCUACACCAUCAUUUUUGGAGAAGCUGUCAACUCUGACAAAUGAAGGAAAGCGGAAGGCAGCGAGCCGCACCUGCGAAAAGGCCUGGAAUUCCAGGGCCAACCCCGCCCAUCUGUUCUUUUCUAAGAGUACUUGGACCCUGCUUGAUUGUUUGAGAUCCAGCGAUUGGAUUUUCUGAAAGUAAAUCUCAGAAAUGGAAAUUCACGCUCAUUACCUUGCACAAACAUUUUUAAUUUCUGAGUGGCCUGCAUUGAGCCUAGAGGCAAGAAUCCUUCUUGCUGGAGCCAUAGUCGAGCCUGUAAAAGCCGAAAACCUUCCGCUGAGGUUAGAAAGGCAAUAAUUUAGACACACAGAGAAAAUUCCUAGCUGGAAGACAAGAGAAAACGCUCCAAGUGAAGUUAGAAAAUUUACCUUUGUAUAAAAAUCCUUUGAACAUUAUUGGACGGUUACUUUCCCUCGGGCAAGAGGAUGACUUCAGGGCGAGACCAGACCCUCGCGGGUCUCCUAAGGCCCCACCCCGUGACUCAGUGCGCCUGCGUGCAGCCCACCUGCUCAGGGUUCUCCCUCCUGCGGCCGCCAGAAGGAUGCACCCUAUCGCAAUGUGCAUGAUUGCUGAUAAAUGAGAUGCCAUUUCACCUUUACAGUUCCAUCCACCAGUCAAGUUUCUGGCCCUAAGUGCCUACAUUCUUUCUCAAGUUUGUCGAUACUUCGUCUGAUCAUGAUUCUGGGAGUUGACUGGGGUCUGCUGGGUGGUUUUUCUGCUGCAAAUGCUGUUGCCUGGAGCUGCAAUCAUCUGUGGACUCGACCGGACUGGGACAUCCAAG